CAGGCCUAACACAUGCAAGUCGAACGAUGUCUUUCGGGACAUAGUGGCGCACGGGUGCGUAACGCGUGGGAAUCUGCCCUUGGGUCUGGGAUAACCGUUGGAAACGACGGCUAAUACCGGAUGAUAUCGCGAGAUCAAAGAUUUAUCGCCUGAGGAUGAGCCCGCGUUGGAUUAGGUAGUUGGUGUGGUAAAGGCGCACCAAGCCGACGAUCCAUAGCUGGUCUGAGAGGAUGAUCAGCCACACUGGGACUGAGACACGGCCCAGACUCCUACGGGAGGCAGCAGUGGGGAAUAUUGGACAAUGGGCGAAAGCCUGAUCCAGCAAUGCCGCGUGAGUGAUGAAGGCCUUAGGGUUGUAAAGCUCUUUUACCCGGGAUGAUAAUGACAGUACCGGGAGAAUAAGCUCCGGCUAACUCCGUGCCAGCAGCCGCGGUAAUA
rnacentral:rRNA from 1 species